GGGCGUAUAGCUCAGCGGUAGAGCGGUCGGCUUACACCCGGCUGGUCGGGGGUUCGAUCCCCUCUGCGCCCA
rnacentral:tRNA from 1 species